GGUUGCUUAGCUCAGCGGUAGAGCGUUCGAUUCCAGUCCCAAACGUCGUCCGUUCAACCCGGGCAGCGAUCA